AGGCUCAGCCUGGCCCACCCACUCAACUCUCUCUCCACUUUACAGACAAACAACCGUGCUGCUCCCCAGGCUCGGAGAAACCGCCGCAGCAGAAAAACAUGGAGGUGAGGGCUGACAUCCUGACAACAGCAUGCAGCACCAGAUGGAGGGGAGGGACACAGCACCAUUCUCUACCUCUGCUGGGCCUUACUAGAUUGGCAUCUGGAAGGAAGCUUGAAAGGCUGCUGAGGAACAGGACAGAGCUGUGAUGGGUGCUCUGAUGCUGAACGAUAUGAGAAGAUUCAGCCCUAAUUGCAGCAUGUAACAUUAUCUGAAUCUUCCAAAUAAAGUUGUGU